rnacentral:rRNA from 1 species
UACGUAGGGGGCUAGCGUUGUCCGGAAUCAUUGGGCGUAAAGAGCGUGUAGGCGGCCCGGUAAGUCCGCUGUAAAAGUCAAAGGCUCAACCUUUGAAUGUCAGUGGAUACUGCCGGGCUAGAGUCCAGAAGAGGCGAGUGGAACUCCUGGUGUAGCGGUGGAAUGCGCAGAUAUCAGGAAGAACACCAACGGCGAAGGCAGCUCGCUAGGACGGUACUGACGCUGAGACGCGAAAGUGUGGGGAGCGAACAGG